rnacentral:ncRNA from 1 species
CAAAGGUUUGGUCCUGACUUUACUGUCAGCUUUAGCUCAAUUUAUACAUGCAAGUAUCCGCACCCCCGUGAGAAUGCCCUCAAUUCCCCACCCGGGAACGAGGAGCUGGCAUCAGGCACUUAACUUAAAGCCCAAGACGCCUUGCUUACGCCACACCCCCAAGGGAACUCAGCAGUAAUAAACAUUAAGCAAUAAGUGCAAACUUGACUUAGUUAGGGCUAAAAGGGUCGGUAAAAUUCGUGCCAGCCACCGCGGUUAUACGAAAGACCCUAGUUGACAAUUACGGCGUAAAGGGUGGUUAAGGGAUAUACAAAAUAAAGCCAAAGACCCUCUAAGCCGUCAUACGCACUCCGAAGGUACGAAGCCCCCACACGAAAGUAGCUUUAAAUAUACAUAUAACCCUGACUCCACGAAAGCUAAGAAACAAACUGGGAUUAGAUACCCCACUAUGCUUAGCCUUAAACCCAGAUACACCCUUACAUUCACAUCCGCCAGGGUACUACAAGCGCAGCUUAAAACCCAAAGGACUUGGCGGUGCCUCAGAUCCACCUAGAGGAGCCUGUUCUAGAACCGAUAACCCCCGUUGAACCUCACCACUUCUUGUUUUUCCCGCCUAUAUACCGCCGUCGUCAGCUUACCCUGUGAAGGCCUAACAGUAAGCAAAACGGGCUCGCCCAAAAACGUCAGGUCGAGGUGUAGCGUACGAAGUGGGAAGAAAUGGGCUACAUUUUCUAUAAUAAUAGAAUACUACGGACGGCACUCUGAAAUUAGUGCCCGAAGGUGGAUUUAGUAGUAAAAAACAAAUAGAGAGUCUUUUUGAAUUAGGCUCUGAGGCGCGCACACACCGCCCGUCACUCUCCCCUACCUCCUUUAAACCUAAAAUUCCUAAUAAUACAAACCUCACUACGGGGAGGCAAGUCGUAACAUGGUAAGUGUACCGGAAGGUGCACUUGGAGUAAC